ACUUGAGAUACUCCAUUCAGAAAUUCUACAACAAUUCAGGGGCCCCUUCAGAAAGUGGAGGAAGCAGCCACUUAGCGGUUAUACUGGCUGGUACAUCAUCCCCUGUGGCUGGGGGGUGGUAUUGUUUGUUACAACGGCUGUUUUCUUCAUGAAGAAGAGAAUUGCAGAAAAGAGGAGACAAAGGAAAGAACUUGGUGCUCUAUUAACCACAGUGAAUAAUUCCAAGCUCAAUUUCUCAUAUGAAUCUCUUGAGAAAGCCACAAAUUACUUUCACCUUUCCAAUAAGCUGGGACAAGGAGGAUCCGGUUCAGUUUACAAGGGGGUAUUGCCUGAUGGAAAAGUUGUUGCUAUAAAGAGGCUUUUAUUCAACACAAGGCAAUGGGUAGAUCAUUUCUUCAAUGAAGUCAAUUUGAUUAGCGACAUUGAGCACAAGAACCUUGUGAAGUUGCUGGGAUGCAGCAUCACAGGACCAGAAAGCCUUCUUGUUUAUGAAUACGUACCGAAUCAAAGUCUUCAUGAUUAUCUCUUUGCUAGAAAUAAUGUUCAGCUUCAACCACUGACAUUGGAGAUGAGGUAUAACAUCAUAUUGGGCACAGCAGAGGGCUUGGCCUAUCUUCAUGAGGAAUCUGAGCUAAGAAUAAUACAUAGAGACAUAAAAUUAAGCAAUAUUCUGCUUGAUGAGGACUUCACACCAAAGAUUGCUGACUUUGGACUAGCAAGAUUAUUUCCACAAGAUAAGACUCAUAUUACCACUGCAAUUGCUGGCACAUUAGGUUAUAUGGCUCCAGAAUACGUUGUUCGUGGCAAAUUGACUGAGAAGGCUGAUGUUUACAGUUUUGGAGUUCUUGUCAUAGAAAUUGUUGGUGGAAAGAGGAACAAUGCUUUCGUUCAAGAUUCAUGUUCUAUCCUGCAAAUGGUUUGGAACCUUCAUGGAACUGGUAGACUGUGUGAAGCUGUUGAUCCAAUCUUAGACGGUAAUUUUCAAGAGGAGGAAGCAUCUCGAUUGCUUCAAAUAGGCCUACUUUGUGUGCAGGCUUCUGCAGAACAGCGUCCAGCAAUGUCAGUUGUUGUUAAAAUGCUUACCAAUAACCAUGAAAUUCCUCAGCCAACACAACCACCACCAUUUCUCAAUCCUAGUAAUAGUUCAGAAAUCAGCCCACAUUCUAGACCUGUCAUUUCAAGUUCUCAGGCUGAGUCUUACACCCAGUCUUCAGGUAACAGCAUGACACAAAGCUGGAUUGAGCCCAGAUGAACCUGUUGCACUGACUUGCUAGCAUUCUGUUUCCAGCUUGUUCCUUAUUCAGUUGAAGAGGCUUUUUUCACUUGAAAAAGUUCACAUUCCAAGAUGAGCUGGUUCAAUUUUCUAUCUGACGCGAUCAGCCAUUAUAUUAUAACAAUCCUUUGUUAAUAUUACAGUGAUAUAUAAAAGCAUAACAACCUCCACUAUUCCUGAUAUAAAUUCUUGA
rnacentral:misc_RNA from 1 species